ACGCUCGACACCUACGGGAGGCGGCAGUCGGGAAUAUUGCGCAAUGGAGGAAACUNUCCCCCGAGCAGUGACGCCGCGUAUAGGAAGAAGGUUUUCGGAUUGUAAACUAUUGUCGUUAGGGAAGAGAAAGGACAGUACCUAAGGAGGAAGCUCCGGCUAACUACGUGCCAACAGCCGCGGUAAUCUGAGCGGGCUGGCAAGGC
rnacentral:rRNA from 1 species